rnacentral:rRNA from 1 species
GAUGAACGCUAGCGACGGGCUUAACACAUGCAAGUCGAGGGGAAAGACGCUGCAAUCUUGCUUUACUCGAGGGGCAACGGGGUACGUGAGACGAAAGCAUACCGCACUUGACUUUAAGAUGACUACAGGCAACCGGAGGUAAGACCAAAAAGCAGCAGCUGAUGCAUUGCGGGGGUUUGCAAUAUUCGGGGGUUGUGGAUGGAGUCGGGGCUUCGCAGCAUGAGGGUGGGGGCGUGGUUAAGCAAGGCUUUGGCGGGUAGCGGGCCUGAGAGGGGGACCGGCCACAGUGGGACUGUGAUACGGCCCAGAGCCCUACGGGAGACAGCAGUGGGGAAUAUUGCACAAUGGGGGGAAGCCUGAUGCAGCAACGCCGCGUGCGGGAUGACGGCCUUCGGGUUGUAAACCGCUUUCGCCUGUGACGAAGCGUGAGUGACGGUAAUGGGUAAAGAAGCACCGGCUAACUACGUG